UUGUUUUGAGUUGAUUAAUUGGUUCACCAAUCUACUAGGCUUUGAAUUUCAUGGUAAUGUUUUGUUUUUUGAGUACAUGCAAGCAUGAUUCCGCCUUUAAUUGUUAAUUGCAUGCCAUAUGAUGUUGCUCAAAUGAACAUGUUUUUCAAAAUAAAUCCUUCAUGACUAAGCUUUCAUUGGUUCUUAUUAGUUUGUUUCAAGUAUGCUUUAACCAAUUUGUUUGUAGAGUCUGUAGAUGUUGGUGGGCAUCAUCACUGUAAACCCUCAGGUGACACAACUCCUCCGACUAGGGACACCUAGAGGUUUAAAGGCUUGUUACACAUGCUCAGUGCAAUCGUUUAGCCAGCGAAAGUGGUAUAGUUAGAUUUUAUUGUUUUUGUGUGUUUUUAGUUAUAGUUUUGCUCGAGGACUAGCAAAAACCCAGUUUGGGGGUAUUUAACAAAUCAUGUAUUUCAUGUAUUUAUACCAUCUAUUUCUAGUCUCUUUGUGAUAUUUUUGUUGGAAAUGUGACCUAAGGCCAAUCAUAUGAUAAUACUUUACGGACAUUUCACAUGUUAAACUAAUCUAGUUUAAUAUGAAGGGCAAAGAUUAUUGUUUAAAGCCGUCUCAUAUGUUAUAUGCUUAAAUGAUAAGUCCAAAGAAUAUGUAAUUGGGAGAAUGUGAUAUAAAGAAGUUAGAUUCAUGAGACCCUUCUCUUUCGUAUACAUACCCUAAAAGUUCCUGACCAUAGGAUUGCCAAUUGGGCAUUGACAGUCUGUUAAGAUCAGUACGUGUUAUGUCUUCUUUUAGAGAGAGUGACUAGUCUCGAGUAAUUGGUGUGACUGACACCAAGACAAACAUGUAGGUGCUCAAUAGAAAAUGAGUCCACUAAACACGAUUAACAAGGAGUUUUCAUACUAAUGUCACAUGAGAACUCAUGGUUGGGAUAAUGCAAAGUAGUACUUUGACCUAAGGCAUUAUAGUUGUCUUGUGGUUAGGUCCUUGAUCUUUGACUAUGUCAAAGUCACUUUAUCAGAAGGUGUCCAUGACAUAGUCGGGGUUAAGCCACUUAGCCAUAGAGGUAAGUGAAUGCGCAACAAGGGAUCUCUAACCUUCAAACCCUUUGAGGGAGAAUACUUUAUGAUAUGAUUAAGAAUCUCUGGCCAAAGUAUGAAUGAGAUUUAGGAAGUCAUUCCAAAUCACAUUCAAGGUAAUCAUAUAAGUAAAUGAAUCACAUUGGAUAGUAGACAUGAAUAAACUAUCAAACCAAACAAUGUGGUCAAUGAAGGAAAUUUUGUGAAAAACAUGUUCAUUUGAGCAACAUCUAUAUAGCAUGCAAUUAACAAUUAAAAGUGGAAACAUGCUUGUAUGCACUCAAAACAAAACAUUACCUAUGAAAUUCAAAGCCUAGUAGUUAGGUGAACCAAGACUCAACUCAAAACAAAGUGAGUUGAGAAAUUUAUACCUUUGUUGAUUCCUCUUUGCAUAAGCAAAGGAUAAUCACCCAAGAGAUAGGGCCUUCAUUCCUUGCUUCUUAGCUCCAUGGAUUUGGAUGGAAUAAUUGGUUUCUCCAAGUUCUCAAAGUUGAGAACCUCUAAGUCUCCACACCAAGGAAGGAUUGAUGAAGAAAUGAGUGACCUAGAGGAAGUAAGAUUUCUAGCUAUGUUCUUCUAGGGUGGCCGGCCUCUUAGAGAGCAAAGAGAGCUUUUGUUCUCAUCUUUUCUCCCAAAAGAAACCCUAAUGAAGAAAAGGCUAUAAAGUCAUAUUUAUACCUACCUUCAUUGGAGUGGCAAACUUGUAAUAAGUCCAAAACCCACUCCAUUAUCAAUAUGGCUAGCCAUAGGGUGUUAUUGGGUUGUUUGGGCCUUUGUGAAUAUUUAGUCAUUAAGUUGUCAUACAACUUAAGUCAAUGGGCUUGACAUUCGAAGCCCAUUGGGCCUUAAGGCCCAAAACUAACCCUAGGUCUUUUAACGAACUUUAUUCGUUUGAUUAAUUAACAUAUUAGUUAAUCCUUGCCAUAAAUAAUUAAACCAUUUAAUUAUUCUUACUCAUCUCCGUUGUU
rnacentral:lncRNA from 1 species